rnacentral:rRNA from 1 species
UACGUAGGUGGCAAGCGUUGUCCGGAUUUAUUGGGUUUAAAGGGUGCGUAGGCGGUUUUGUAAGUCAGUGGUGAAAUACUCCAGCUUAACUGGAGGGGUGCCAAUGAUACUGCAGAACUUGAGUACAGAUGAGGUAGGCGGAAUUGACGGUGUAGCGGUGAAAUGCAUAGAUAUCGUCAAGAACACCGAUAGCGAAGGCAGCUUACUGGGCUGUAACUGACGCUGAGGCACGAAAGCAUGGGGAGCAAACAGG